UACGUAGGGGGCAAGCGUUGUCCGGAUUUAUUGGGCGUAAAGAGCGUGUAGGCGGCCAUUCAGGUCAGCUGUGAAAACUCGAGGCUCAACCUCGAGACGUCGGUUGAAACCGUAUGGCUAGAGUCCGGAAGAGGAGAGUGGAAUUCCCGGUGUAGCGGUGAAAUGCGCAGAUAUCGGGAAGAACACCCGUGGCGAAGGCGGCUCUCUGGGACGGUACUGACGCUGAGACGCGAAAGCGUGGGGAGCGAACAGG
rnacentral:rRNA from 1 species